CCCCGUGACAGUUGCUGCCGAUCAUGAAGCGGGUGGCGUGCGUUCACUUAGCGCUGGCUUCGCUCUUCCUCUUUGCAGAGGCUGCAGUCGUGACCCAGCGGCAGAUGUCCAUCGUGACCCGUAAAAAGCAGCCGGCGCGACUGGACUGUCAGGUGACCGGCACGGAUUUCCGCAGAGCCGUCGUCCACUGGUAUCGGCACACAGAUGGUGGCGUCCCCAGAUGGCUCCUCUCCUCCAGCCCCACCAAGAUUGAGUACGACAGCUCGAUCGAGAGCAGCCGGGUAGUGGCGGAGCGGGACUCGGCCGGCGGGCACUGCACCCUCAUCAUCCACUGGGCUGAGCUCAGCGAUCAGGGCACCUACAUGUGCGCCAUCUGGAAACUCACAGUGCUGUGCACGGAGGGAGCGCCAUGCAGGAAAUGCGAGAGUGCAGCGCCGCCUCUGAGGGGCUCGGCCCCCCACGGUGCGUCAUGGAAAGCACGCCUUGGGUGGUCGGAAGGUCUGCGAUGCACAUGGAGCCUGGUGGGCUCAUCGGGGCUCCUGACUGCCACAUACUUUGACUUGCGCUAA